rnacentral:rRNA from 1 species
AGGACGAACGCUGGCGGCGUGCUUAACACAUGCAAGUCGAGCGGAAAGGCCCUUCGGGGUACUCGAGCGGCGAACGGGUGAGUAACACGUGAGUAACCUGCCCCUAGCUCUGGGAUAGCUCCGGGAAACCGGGAUUAAUACCAGAUACGACCACUUUAGACAUCUGUCGUGGUGGAAAGGAUUCCGGCUAGGGAUGGGCUCGCGGCCUAUCAGCUUGUUGGUGGGGUAACGGCCUACCAAGGCGACGACGGUAGCCGGCCUGAGAGGGCGACCGGCCGACACUGGGACUGAGACACGGCCCAGACUCCUACGGGAGGCAGCAGUGGGGAAUAUUGCGCAAUGGGCGAAAGCCUGACGCAGCGACGCCGCGUGGGGGAUGAAGGCCUUCGGGUUGUAAACCCCGUUUCAGCAGGGACGAAGCGAAAGUGACGGUACCUGCAGAAGAAGCGCCGGCUAACUACGCGCCAGCAGCCGC